GUUUUGACACGUUUCAGAGGACCGUUGGAUACGGUCUGAUUAUCGCUGAUACCGUAAUUAUGCUACAUUUCUGGACGUGACCGAUGAAGGAAGAUCGAUGGGGGAAGGAGAUCAACGGAUGAAGGCGAUCGGAUGUGAGAAAAUUUAUUUGGAAGCAUGGAUUUGGGAAUUUGGUCAUCACCGGCAUUUCCUUCCUUCCUUUCGUGCAGGACGUCGACGAUAAACGGGGCAUCAUCGAGCGGCGUCUCCACAUCUCCACA
rnacentral:lncRNA from 13 species